GUGCUUGCUUCAGCAGCACAUAUUCUAAUAAACUGGAACAAUACAGAGAAGAUUAGCAUGGCCCCUGCACAAGGAUGACAUGCAAAUUCAUGAAAUGCUCCAUAUUUUU
rnacentral:snRNA from 1 species